rnacentral:lncRNA from 1 species
GGGACUCAGCAUACUGACUUCAGGUUAGCUGUUCUAUCCUAUGAAGAAACCGACCCUCUCCUGGGCCACUGAUGGUCCACUGUGAUUGCAUCUUUCCUGGUCUCAUCCUUGGCAUAGUCUCAUUGGAGACUGAUCGAGACAAACAAUCCUCAAGGACCUGCUUUUUUCUUUUUGUUGGAACAGAUUUUAACCUGACUCCUAAUGUCAGAAAGGGCACCAAUACACUCAGUGGAGAGCUGCUGCUCACUUUCCCUGUGCAAGAUACAGAAAUCUGGAAUUCAAAGAGGUACACGAUUACACCCUUUACCUUAAAGAGCUUAUAAUCAAUUGUAAAUGGACAGAGGAAAUGUAUUCAUGAGAAAAUCCCAGCAGAAGGCACGUUUUUCUACUAUUUGCUACUUACUGCAGAUAAAGAGGGUGCCUAAUUCACUGUGGGCUGGGAUGAUGCGGAAUUCCCUCCCUGGGGCAGAGGUAAGUGUGGCAGGGGUUGUUGUGGGGUGUGUGUGUCUGUGUGUGUGUGUGUGUGCAUGCUUGUGUGAAGAAGCCCAAAGCAUUAAGGAAAGAAAACAAGGCAACAAAGGGUAGCUGGAGGACUGAGUAUGUACAGCCUGACAUGAGACAUAGAGUUAGAAUUGAGUCUGUAGGUUAAAGUGAACCCCACAAUCUCAUCUGGCACUUCAGAGCACAAGGCCUUUACUAUUUCCAUCUUGCUUUUUCCUAAGUGGAUGUAAUUUCUAUACAGGUUCCCCAAACCAGGAACUCUACGACAUUUGGGACAAAAGCCUUUGUUAUCUCCCCAUUGUUCAUUUCCAAGAUGUUCUAUCAAUGUUAAAUAAAAAGCUUCUAACAUAUGUGCAUUUGGGUCAGUAUUCUUCUAAAGGUGAAGAAUAAAGGGACUCAGCCCUAGAAGAAUAUCCUCUAAUUACUUUCUCACUAUUUUGAUCUUUGGCUUUGAAGUAAAUGGCUUCCCUUUUGGUCAUUUAUUGAUUUCCUCUUUGAAAGUUUUUUGUUCCCAUAUAUCAUCAUUUUGCACACAUCUUGCCAGACUCCUGUACUCGAUUGCUAUUAUAAUUUUUUCCUUCUUCUCAUACAUUGUUCAAGCCAUUUUCUGAGUUAAAACAGAUAAAUAAGAAACUAUUUAUUUAUUUAUUUCUUCCAGAUGUCUUUGCUGGACCUGAAACUGCCAUUUCCUAAACUUAUCGUAUUUGUAUAGUCAAAAAUUAUUUUUAACUUUGCUUGGCUUGCAUUUAAAUUUUCUUUCUUUCUUUUUUUUUCCCUGGGAAGUGUCCUAGUCUGCUUUUCUUAAAUGCCUUUUCCAUAAUUUAAUGAAAAGGGACAAAAGUAAAAACGAGGGAAGACAUUGAAAAAUGGCCAAUGGGGAGCAUAAGAAAAAUGCCCUUUACAUGUGGUGACUUUGAAAGAUUAACUUUUCAAGUGUGACCAUACGUAUGAAACUAUUACUGUUUUUGCUGCUUUAAAAGCAUAGGGUAAGAGUUCUCUUUGAAAUGAUUAUUAAAACUAUUAAAUAAUUAUGUAUACCCUUGUUAUUAUGUCAGUUUAAAGGUUUAUUACACUGGGUAAGUCCGAGGAACAUAUUGGCUGGUAAGCUGGUUGUUUUCUGGUUUCAGGUGCAAUUGAAAUUCAGCUACAUGUUAUUCAGAAACCCUAGAGAACAACUAAAUGAUGCUAUUUACCAUUACAUAGGGCUUCUCUUAGCAACCAAUUUUGUUUAUGCUUCUAAAGAUAAUGUUAGUAGGAGCCUCAAUGUCUGGUUAUAAUGUAUUCAAAGCCAGAGUACUUGAGAAGUCUGUGAGUAAGAAUGAUCCAGUUGUCUUUGUGUUAGUAGCUUUUAUCCAGGGAUGAUAAGGAAGGGAAAGGAAUUAACAUGAACUAGGGACCACUAAUAAGCCAGGCAUUUUUACAUUUUAUGAUCUCUAUACUCCCUACAAAGCCACAUUUUACCUUCCUUUCUUUGAGUUGAAGACUCUGAGGCUCAGAGAGGUCAAGUCACUUGCUCAAGGUCACGCAGCUAGUAAACGGCUGAGCAGAGGCAGACUUUAGAUGUGUCUGACUGUAAGGAUUGCCAUUCUUCCACUGGAAACCAUUGCCUCCACCUGAAUGGAAGGGUAUCUUUUUUGGUAGGAAGGAGAUAUAUUAUAGAAUGGGGGUAUGGGUUGGGCAGCUGGUCAACCUGAGAACAAGACUUGAGAGAUAUUUAGGCCCAGAAUCUCUCACUUCUUUCUUCCUCCUCCCCUGCAUGGUGACCUCUAGGCCUGUCGUUUUUAUUUUCCCAAGCCCUGGUCUCUGGGAAGGAUUAACAACACUAUCAGUGAAUAGCCAAGUAAAGUUCUGUGGACAAAAAAAUGCCAAUCAAAAAUAAUUGUGAUCUUAUCAUUUCAAGAUGACAAACGCUUUUUUGUUUUUGAAGGUAUUCAGCCUUGACAAAAAAGUCAAUCUGCACAACAUGCAUUAGCAAAACAUCUUCCUGGGCAAAACAAAACAAAAAAACAAAUAUUAGAACAUCUCUAUGAAACGAGGCAUCUGUAUAGUCCUAUAUAGAGGAUGAGAGGACACCCAUAACUGCUGGAGAAAGUAGCAGAAGACCAGGCAGGGCAAUAAAGUGAAGCCAGACAGACCCAGAACUCUGUGUACAAUCGUUCAAUCCAUACAGCCCAGGACAGUGUGUGGUCGUGAGUGGCUGGAUAAGCAGUGUUUAGGAGCUAGACUGCCUGGGUUUGACACAAGCUCUCCCACUUACGUCAUUGUGAGUGAAGAUAAACAAUUGUGCCUCAGUUCUUCCGUCUGUAAAAUGGCAGUAAUAAAGGUACCUAUCUCCAUAGAGCUAUUCUAGCCAAGGCACUUGGGACAGGGCUUGUUACAUAGAAAGCACUGUGCACAAAUUGGCUUUCAAGCAUGCUAUUGAACUGCUUUCUCAACUAAUCAGUAUCCAGUCUUUGGAGGAUACAAGCACUCAUUAUGAUCCUAUUUGUGACAAUAAUUAGGAAGAACUGCUCAUUGAAAAUGGAUUUCAAAAUUGCAUAGCAAUUAUUUCAUUUAUCUUUCAUUAUUUUGAUGAAUUCUUCAGUGGACAAGAUAAAGUGAAAGUUGUAACUAUAUUUGUUUUCAGCACCUACCACCGUAUAUGGUGUACCAUCUGUGGAUUUAUAAAAUAUUAGUGAAUUAUUGAAUGAGCCCUAAUAUUCUGACAACUGUUUAAAUAUCGAUGUUUUAAAGUACUGUCAUUGAAUACAAAUACAAUUUAGAGUCUUUCUCUGCUUUCUCUCUCCCCCUCUCUCUUUUCUGGCCAUAAAUCAUUGUCUAUUCACUGGGUAAACAACAUCUGAAUUCCCUGGAGCUCAGCAGCCCACUGAUUUCACUAAAAAGUUGUCUCAUCCAACUCUGAAUAUGGAGUCUGGUUUCUGAAUGGCUGGUAAGAUUUAUUUUCCCUGGUGGUUGGAGCUGGUAUAUUUUACCAAGGCAAAUCCCCAUGUGACAAAGGAAUAAAUACACAGGGAAGAAUCAUUUGCAUAAAAGUUGGCAAGAAGGUUUAAGGAAAAAUAAGGGUUGGCAGGGAGGUUUAAGGAAAACAUAGAUAGAGCAGAGUUUAAAUCUUGGCCUUGUCAAUUUCUGGCUGUGACAAUGUGAGCAAAAGUUUUGACUCAUCUGAGCCUCAGUUUAUACAUUGGUAAAAUGAGGAUAAAUAAAAUUGACUGCAUAGCAUUUUGUGAGGAUUAAAAAAGGCAAUACAAGUAGUGUCUAAAAUAAUACCUGCCACAUGGCAGGUGUUAGUCAAAUGCUUUUUACCUUGUCUCCUCCUUUUCUUCCCUUUUUUCCUCCCUUCCUUCUUUCCCUCUCUUCCUUCCUCAUAUGUGAUCUUCUAUUUGCCCAGGGCUUCUUGUGUGAUUCUAAAUUAUAGCAUCUAGGGCUUGUAUCAGGAAAGCAUACCUUAGGUCCCAGAAUUUUGAACAUCAACCUAAAAUUUUCCCAUCAGCCUUCAGCCUCUCUUCCUAGCCAUGGGAAGCUCCUCAGUAGAGAUGAAGUCAUUAGCUCAAUUCUUUAGGGCUCAUCUUUCUCUGAAACUUAGUGAUCAAUUUACUUUACCCCUGAGACUACCCUUGUCAUCUUUGGGCAAAAUCACCAGCAAGCAGAAAAGUUUGGCCUCUUCCGUAGAUGCUCAAUACAUGCUAGAUAAGUUGGAACUAUCAUGGCCAUGUCCCAGGAGCUCAGAGAGCAUGAUAUACUGAUUCUGGGAACUAGGUGUUUUAGGAAUCAUGCUAAUCAAAUGUAACAACAUACCUGGCUUCCAGAAAGGCAGCUAAAUGUCAGGUUAAGAGCUUGGGCUCUGAAAUCAUAAUGGCUCUGCUCUGUAUCCUCCAACAAAUUUCUUAAGCUCUCCAAGCCCAAGUCUCCCCAUCUGUAAAUGACUAAUAGUAAGGUGGUUUUGGAAAUGCUAAUCUGUUUUACUUAUUAAGUACCAGUGUCAGAGCACAUUAGCAGUCCUGCUAACAGAUACAAGAUACCAGUAACAUGAAGUUCUUGACAUCUGAGACCAACUUCUCUUCUGAGAGGGAAAAUUCUCUGUAUGGUUUCUGCAAAGGCUGGAGCAGAUCAAGUCUGGGUGCAAGUGCAG